rnacentral:rRNA from 1 species
UUUUAUAAGUUAUUUUUAUAAAUAAAAUUAUUUUUGAAAUUUAAAAUUUUUAUAAAUUUAUUUAUUUUAUUGGGGUGAUAAAAAAAUAUAUUAAACUUUUUAAAAAUUUAACAAAAAUAAAUGAUUUUUUGAUCCUAUAUUAUUGAU